GAAAAAAAAGAGUUUGAAGCUGCUGCUGAGGUCCCCCUCUCUCCACCGAAGAUAUCGAUAUGAGUUCUUUAAUUACUGCUGAAGAUAACACAGUUAGGACAGUCAAUUUAUCGGGUCUGUACCGCGUGUUGAGGUCACGUAGCCAUGGGCCGAGCUACUAGCCAGACGACAAAUUAUGCCUACUUAGAUGCCACGGGAUUUGGACCAGCGGCAUUAAUUCAUGUGUUUGAGUUGAGGGGUGACUUAAUAUCGGCACUAGUUGAGCGAUGGCGUCUAGAGACGCACACCUUUCAUUUACUAUGUGGGGAAUGCACCAUCACAUUAGAGGAUGUCGCAAUGCAAUUAGAACUCUUUGUAGAGGGUGAUACGGCAACCGAUUCAAGUGGCAUAGCAAAUCAUGCGACUCUUUGCUAUGACUUGCUUGGACACUCUCCCAGUGAUAGUACUGAUAAAUUUACGGGUUUAAAAUUUUCGUGGCUAAAGGUAAAUUUUGAAACAUUAUUGGAUUAUGCAAUCGAGAUGGAGAAGAUACAGGUUGCUCGGGCCUAUAUACUACAGUUUAUACGGGGGUUACUUAUGCUAGAUUCCAAUAAUAAUAGAGUUCACUUGAUGUACUUGCCCUUACUUAGUAACUUGCAAGGUGCCCGUACACAUAGUUGGGGGUUUGGCAGUACUAGUUACGCUAUAUCAUGAGCUUUGUCAGACGAAAAAGCACAGAAUGAUCGAUAUAUGUGGUUGCCUAAUACUGCUACAAUCUUGGGCGGUAUAUACAGGAUGUCAUUUCUAGCAUCAGUAGGUCACCAAGUAUAUGUGUUCCCACUUGUGAAUAGAUGGUAUACUUGUUCGAACAUCGGGAAGUUAGAAACACUCAUUGUAUACCGAUAGAUGAUUGAGGCAUACGCCGGGGAUGGGAUGUUGUUUUCGUCAUUCCUCCGUUGGCUAGAGCACAUGCAAUCGUAUCUUGUGUUAACGCACCCAUUAUCAAUUUUCAAAUGGUAGAGUGGUAUGCCGGGGAUCGGGUGCUUCAUCAAUUCGAGUGUUGCCAACAUAUUCUAGACAUUUCUAUAUAAUUGAGAAAAGAUGUCCACAAAAUUGACAAGAAGGGGAAACAUGCAAAGAAUUGGGUAUUAGAGCAUCAACCAUAUAUUGUGUUAUGGAACACCUGAUUGGAGAGAAGACCUUAUUUGGAAUCAUGCUUUCUUGAUUUCA